rnacentral:rRNA from 1 species
GACGAACGCUGGCGGCGUGCUUAACACAUGCAAGUCGAACGGAAAGGCCCUGCUUUUGUGGGGUGCUCGAGUGGCGAACGGGUGAGUAACACGUGAGUAACCUGCCCUUGACUUUGGGAUAACUUCAGGAAACUGGGGCUAAUACCGGAUAGGAGCUCCUGCUGCAUGGUGGGGGUUGGAAAGUUUCGGCGGUUGGGGAUGGACUCGCGGCUUAUCAGCUUGUUGGUUGGGUAGUGGCUUACCAAGGCUUUGACGGGUAGCCGGCCUGAGAGGGUGACCGGCCACAUUGGGACUGAGAUACGGCCCAGACUCCUACGGGAGGCAGCAGUGGGGAAUAUUGCACAAUGGGCGGAAGCCUGAUGCAGCAACGCCGCGUGCGGGAUGACGGGCUUCGGGUUGUAAACCGAUUUCGCCUGUGACGAAGCGUGAGUGACGGUAAUGGGUAAAGAAGCACCGGCUAACUACGUG